rnacentral:snRNA from 1 species
AUUGCUUCUCGGCCUUUUGGCUAAGAUCAAGUGUAGAAUCUAUUCUUAUCAGAUUUACUUCCCUAUGAAAAUCUUUAAGAGGCACUGUGGUACAACUCACAUCGCUAGAUUUUAGAAUAUUAGACUUAAGUCUCU